rnacentral:rRNA from 1 species
CUCAUGGUUUCACGGUAUUGCAAUGAGAACAAUUUAAAACCCUUAGCGAGAAUCAAGUGGAGGACAAGUCUGGUGCCAGCACCCGCGGUAAUUCCAGCUCCACUAGCGUAUAUUAAAGUUGUUGCAGUUAAAAAGCUCGUAGUUGAACCUCUGUCUGGGGCUAGUUUUGGCUUUGGUCAGGCUAGUUCUAGGCAUCCGCCUACAAGACUUAGAGGGCAUUCAGUUGUUCACUAGGAGGAGUAGGCAUUUUACUUUGAAAAAAUUAGAGUGUUAAGGCAGGCAAUCGCCCGCAUAUAUUAGCAUGGAAUAAUAGAAUAGGACACUUUUCCAUCUCGUUGGUUAUUGGAAUCGUGUAAUGAUUAAUAGGGACAGUUGUGGGCAUUUGUAUUUAAUUGUCAGAGGUGAAAUUCUUGGAUUUAUUAAAGACAAACUAACGCGAAAGCAUUUGCCAAGGAUGUUUUCAUUAAUCAAGAACGAAUGUUAGGGGAUCAAAGACGAUCAGAUACCGUCCUAGUCUUAACUAUAAACUAUUCCGACUCAAUGUUUGACUGGCUUAUACAACCAGUUGAGCGUUGUAUGAGAAAUCAAAGUCUUUAGGUUCUGGGGGGAGUAUGGUUGCAAAGCUGAAACUUAAAGGAAUUGACGGAAGAGCACAACCAGGAGUGGAUUCUGCGGCUUAAUUUGACUCAACACGGGGAAACUUACCAGGUUAAAACAAUAGUGGGAUUGACAGUUUGAGAGCGCUUUCUUGAUUGGUUGGGUGGUGGUGCAUGGCCGUUCUUAGUUGGUGGAGUGAUUUGUCUGCUUAAUUGCGUUAACGAACGAGACCUUAACCUGCUUACUAGACUGGCGAUCAUCAAUCGUUAGCUCUUCUUAGAGGGACUUUGGUUGUUUUAACUCCAAGGAAGUUUGAGGCAAUAACAGGUCUGUGAUGCCCUUAGAUAUCCUGGGCCGCACGCGUCAUACAAUGCUAGUUCAGAAAGUUUUCUCCUGACCCGAAAGGGGAUGGGUAAUCUUGAUAAUACUAGUCGUGUUAGGGAUCGAUCUUUGCAAUUAUAGAUCUUGAACGAGGAAUUCCUAGUAAGUGCGGUUCAUCAGACCGUACUGAUUACGUCCCUGCUCUUUGUACACACCGCCCGUCGCUUCUACCGAGUGGGUGGUCCGGUGAGAUAAUUGAACUUCGCAGGUAACUGAGAGGAAAGAUUAUCAAACCUAUCCACCU